rnacentral:sRNA from 1 species
CCAAGAUGGGCCCUAAUAAGCUCCGC